rnacentral:rRNA from 1 species
UUAGAGUUUUGAAUCUGGCUCAGGACGAACGCUGGCGGCGUGCCUAAUACAUGCAAGUCGAGCGGACAGAAGGGAGCUUGCUCCCGGAUGUUAGCGGCGGACGGGUGAGUAACACGUGGGUAACCUGCCUGUAAGACUGGGAUAACUCCGGGAAACCGGAGCUAAUACCGGAUAGUUCCUUGAACCGCAUGGUUCAAGGAUGAAAGACGGUUUCGGCUGUCACUUACAGAUGGACCCGCGGCGCAUUAGCUAGUUGGUGGGGUAAUGGCUCACCAAGGCGACGAUGCGUAGCCGACCUGAGAGGGUGAUCGGCCACACUGGGACUGAGACACGGCCCAGACUCCUACGGGAGGCAGCAGUAGGGAAUCUUCCGCAAUGGACGAAAGUCUGACGGAGCAACGCCGCGUGAGUGAUGAAGGUUUUCGGAUCGUAAAGCUCUGUUGUUAGGGAAGAACAAGUGCGAGAGUAACUGCUCGCACCUUGACGGUACCUAACCAGAAAGCCACGGCUAACUACGUGCCAGCAGCCGCGGUAAUACGUAGGUGGCAAGCGUUGUCCGGAAUUAUUGGGCGUAAAGGGCUCGCAGGCGGUUUCUUAAGUCUGAUGUGAAAGCCCCCGGCUCAACCGGGGAGGGUCAUUGGAAACUGGGAAACUUGAGUGCAGAAGAGGAGAGUGGAAUUCCACGUGUAGCGGUGAAAUGCGUAGAGAUGUGGAGGAACACCAGUGGCGAAGGCGACUCUCUGGUCUGUAACUGACGCUGAGGAGCGAAAGCGUGGGGAGCGAACAGGAUUAGAUACCCUGGUAGUCCACGCCGUAAACGAUGAGUGCUAAGUGUUAGGGGGUUUCCGCCCCUUAGUGCUGCAGCUAACGCAUUAAGCACUCCGCCUGGGGAGUACGGUCGCAAGACUGAAACUCAAAGGAAUUGACGGGGGCCCGCACAAGCGGUGGAGCAUGUGGUUUAAUUCGAAGCAACGCGAAGAACCUUACCAGGUCUUGACAUCCUCUGACAACCCUAGAGAUAGGGCUUUCCCUUCGGGGACAGAGUGACAGGUGGUGCAUGGUUGUCGUCAGCUCGUGUCGUGAGAUGUUGGGUUAAGUCCCGCAACGAGCGCAACCCUUGAUCUUAGUUGCCAGCAUUCAGUUGGGCACUCUAAGGUGACUGCCGGUGACAAACCGGAGGAAGGUGGGGAUGACGUCAAAUCAUCAUGCCCCUUAUGACCUGGGCUACACACGUGCUACAAUGGACAGAACAAAGGGCUGCAAGACCGCAAGGUUUAGCCAAUCCCAUAAAUCUGUUCUCAGUUCGGAUCGCAGUCUGCAACUCGACUGCGUGAAGCUGGAAUCGCUAGUAAUCGCGGAUCAGCAUGCCGCGGUUGAAUACGUUCCCGGGCCUUGUACACACCGCCCGUCACACCACGAGAGUUUGCAACACCCGAAGUCGGUGAGGUAACCUUUAUGGAGCCAGCCGCCGAAGGUGGGGCAGAUGAUUGGGGUGAAGUCGUACAGGGGGUAACCCGUAAAA